UACAGAGGUCCCAAGCGUUGUUCGGAUUCACUGGGCGUAAAGGGUGCGUAGGCGGUCGGGUAAGUCUGAUGUGAAAUCUCAGAGCUCAACUCUGAAACUGCAUUGGAUACUAUUCGGCUUGAGGUCUGGAGGGGGGACUGGAAUUCUCGGUGUAGCAGUGAAAUGCGUAGAUAUCAGGAAGAACACCUAUGGCGAAGGCAGCUCUCUGGGACGGUACUGACGCUGAGACGCGAAAGCGUGGGGAGCGAACAGG
rnacentral:rRNA from 1 species